UUUCCGUCUGUGAACAUUGAACUUCUACUUUAUCCAUCAGCCAUGAAGAUCUAUCACCUUUUCGUCUGGGCUCUCAUUCUGAAAGGUGUAGUUGGUCCAGAUCCUGCCGGAGGUCAACGUGAUUGUCAAUCUCGUCUUAACGGUUUCUGUUAUCCUAAACACCUUUCCUGUCCUGAUUGUUUUGCUCCAUAUGGACACUGUGAAUUUGACCUCCAGUGCUGUGCCAAAAUAUGGUGGCAUCCUGAGUGCGAAGGUGCAACUUCACCAGCUGAAAGUUUUUUUCCUAAAACAACAACACCUUCACAAAACAUUUUUGACACAACUGAGGAGCCAAAAUAAGCUGUUGUGAUAGUCAUUCAGUUCCUGUUAAGUAAAAACAACUGGGUAUCCUUUGACAGUUGGUGGAGCACUUGGAGAUUACCUAUUGUAAAUUCUCUAAAAUGUUGAUUCUUAUGGGCUAAUAGAUUGCUAAUAAAAAGCUGUGGUGUUCUCAUUUGCUGAAGCUGAUUUUCAAUAGAACUGAUACUU